rnacentral:lncRNA from 1 species
UGGCGUUUGAUAGGUACAACCUAUUAUUUAAACCUGAACAGUAUUUGAAGUGAAGCUAUUUUAACAUGAAAAUCAAUUUUGGAUUCCAAAAAAAAAAUAAAGUAAGCUUUAACACGGCAACAGUGUACGUGAAUCGUGUUCAUGCAUUGUCAAUCUGGAGAUGAGAUGCUAGGGUAAAACUAUUUGUGAUGCUCACUUUGAUUGUUUAAUAUGAAAAAAAAAAUUAUAUUAUUUUAGUAGUAAUUUGGUGUGCAUCGAAACAGUUAUUAGACGAGACUUGAAACUUGUUCAUUAACUCGCAAAAUUUGCUUGAUCAAACAAAUUAAAAAGAUACAAGUCAUGAAAUCUGGUCUUUAUUAAGGGUUGCAGAAAAUGAAUGAAUAUACAUUUUUGUUUUAAACUGCUGCCUGUUUCAGAUUCAUUAACCAUGGUAUGAUUUAUCUAAAGAAUAAUCUUUACAGAUUAAAUAAUCGUGUUGUCCAUGUAAAUGAAGGUUUUACGUCAUUUGUUAUUUUAGGUUGACAGUACAACUAAUUAUUUUAAACAUUGCCACAGUUUUUACAAAUGAUAACAGGUUUCAACAUGUUAAAGAGGAUUAAUCUUGACAUUGAAAUCUAAAACAUCAUUUUAGUUCUCUGGUUGUGUUAUUCGUUAAAGUAGCACUAGCUACGAGAUAUCUAUUAAAAAUCAAAAAUAUGGUUUUUUUUGUCAAUCAUUAAUAAAAGUGAAAUAGUGAAAUAAGAAUUCGCUUUUUGCGGCCAAUUGGUUCAAUUUUGUGAAAAUAAGUUAAGAAACAUUGAUGAUAAAUUAUUCACUUGCAAGUGAAUAAUUUGAUCUCAUUGAAUCCGUAUUCAUUUGAACUCCAAUUUAACCCCUUACCAAGAGAUUGAUAGCGCAUGCAUUGUGGGUGUGGAGUUAUUUAAAGGAAAAGAAUGUCAACAUUGAAAGUGAAUCAAAGGUAAUUUAUGUAAUUGACUGAU